UGAAAGUCAUUGCAUUUUUCGUGAGUUUCAUCCCAAGCUUCCAAAUAUGCCCCCUUCACUUAGGUUUCAAUGAUUUUUUACAUUUCUUACAUGCAGAUUGAAUAAUGAAAUCAAACGUUUUUGUUGCCUUCCCUCAACCCUAAUCAAUCAAAACGGCCGCCGAUGAACAAUCGUCAGUUAUGGCCUUUCAAUUGAGGCUUGAUUGAAACCAAUUGAAGACGCGAAUUGAAUCUGCCCCUUCGCUUCCAGAUCCCACCCCCCUUUAAACUCAACAUAUUGUCAUUUAGGAUGCAACACCUGCGACUUCAGUUGCUUACCCUAAGGGUUUGUGUAAUAGAUGAAUUAAAACAUGAUCGUGUAAUCUCUUUGAAUAUAUCCAUAUCUACAACGUCAACGAGUGAAUUAAUAGAGGAAGUAAGAGAUCUCUGCAAUUUCUUAUCAAAGCUUAUUUCAGUGCACCAGCAGGGCCGGCUAAGCCUUUGGCUAUUGAGACGAAGAGUAUGGGAAAGGGUCAAGUAUGGAUCAAUGGUUAGAACAUAGGAAGAUAUUGGACAGUUCAUGCAAAAGGUAGUUGUACGGGCUGCAACUAUGCUGGUACAUAUUGACCAACCAAGUGUCAAAUUGGUAUACACACAUGUACUUGCUAUUGGAACUUUAUAAACCUAAUUUAUACCAUAACUCCUUAAGGUUUGAACUUUGCAUAUAUUUAUGUUACCUUUUUCACAGGGUUUGUCCAACGUGUGUGCUCGUUUUGAUUUAGGAUUCAUAAGUUAACAGAAUAGCAUGCCCUUUGGAGUUUCAAAAUUCGCAUACAGUGAUAGGUUAUGAGGGUCAUAAACUGAAGCUAGAAAGUGAUUCACAAUUUUAGUAACAAACACUCAAUUUGCAUGCGUGCAAUGGACCUCUUUAAUUUUUUUAAAUUCCAAGUAACUAUUACUAUGCAGUCUUAAAUGUAAUAUGUGACAUAUAAAAGUUUCUUUAUUUUUCUUUUCAUAUGAUCUAUUAAAUCGUGUUGAUAGAGACAUAGAGUACUUCAAACGGUAGUUAAGGUUGGAAGGGAUGGAAUUGAAGCAGGAACAAGUUUAGUGCCAGGGGUUUAUGGAGAACAAUCAAGGAGAGAGAAGCCCACAGGACGUCAUCAUGGGUUGACUCAGCAAAAAAGGCAAAAGAUCAAAGAGGCAUUUGAGUUGUUUAAUACUGAUGGGUCUGGUAUGUUGUUUAUUCAUUAAUCAUUAUUGUAUACUGUUUUAGUUAAAGUUAUUAAAGUUGAGUGCUUUAAUCUGUUUAAAAUGUGGGUACCAUUGACGCCAAGGAGUUGAAUGUUGCUAUCAGGCUCUUCAAGCAUCUCACUUAACGAUGACACUUCUGGUUGGGUAUAUAGUUGGCUCUCAUAAUAUAUCAUCUACGUUUAGUCUGGUUAGGCGCGCUGCACUUGAGAAGAGCUAUAGGUUCUCAAACAUGUCGAUGAGUUUGCAACAAAAGGGGUUAGUAAUCCAAGAGGAAAGACCAGUUUCAUACUAACUAUUUCCAAAUUGAAAAAUUGAUGUAGCGCGUGAUACGGAAACGAAGAUCAAACACGUUGAUUCAAAGAAUACCCGUGUGUUCUUCCCCAACCCCCAAGAUUCCACCCAAAAGGCACGGAAUUUGAAGUGAAAAAUCAAUUAUUUUAUAAAACUCAAAAACUAUCCCCCAAUACAAAUUACAUGAGAACUUAUAUAGAGUUUUUAUGAUCAACUCAAUGGACAUAAAUUAAAACAAAACUUAAUGAACACUAAAUGUGGAUUUAUUCAUUACAUAAUUGAGUCGACACUUGAUAUUCCCGCA